UGGAUCGAUGAUGACUGCUGGUGGCGUAUGAGUCGUUUGCGAUGAAUACUUGUCUGCAACUCUGAGGUCCAA
ensembl:snoRNA